AUGCUCACUUCAGCAGCACAUAUAUUAAAAUUGGAACAAUACGGAGAAGAUUCGCAUGGCCCCCGCACAAGGAUGACGCACAAAUACAUGUAGCGUUCCAUAUUUUU
ensembl:snRNA U6 U6 spliceosomal RNA